UUGUGAUUCCUUCACCAUCCUUCUCCGCGAGCCGCAAGCGCUGUCCUUGGACCUCACCGCCGUCGAAGCCCCCCUCGGUCGCCGGCGUGUUCCUCUGCGGGCUUCCGCCCACAGGACCUAUAUAUCCCGUAUCGUCUUCUGUUGCGACGCCAACCCUCACCUCUCUGAUGUCCUCCCGCCUUCCACUCCUCUCCGCAGCCGCCACCUGCAUCAGCAGUUGAUCUUCUUGGAACUAGGAACUUUCCGUCUUCCCUUCUCGUUCACAUGCAACUUUAAUCGCGGCCGAUCUACCGAAACUCUGACCUUGAGCUUUUUAGGCUGAGACAGCUAUCAACGGGAGGAAAUCCUUGCGCGGAAAAUGAGUGCAGAUAUUGUUCCAAGGAUUCUAAGGAAUUCGAACCACAUUCUAAGGAAACUGAACAUAGUAGAACAAAUCAGUGCAACACUGCAGGAUAUGGCGAGGGGGAAGUGUAGGUGGACAUGAUAUCAGCUGGGGAUGGGGAGUACACCCGCAUAUCAUACAAUUCUGAUGAAUCGUAUAAUUGAAAAACAAUACUAUCUUAAGAAACUUAUGUUUUAAUGAAGUGAAUGAGUGAGAUAUCACUAUGAGCAGCAGCUGAUUUUUGCAAAUUGUUUGCUAGAAAUGUGUAUUGAUAUGAUAAGGGAUAUACAACAUUAACUAGUUUUGAGUUAUGCAUAUAUAAGUAUAUAUCGUGUGCCUUAUAACUGUAGGUGUACGUUAAGAAUUGCUUUGAGCCCUUGUUUUUCACGUCGGUUCUGUUCAAAUUUACUAGUGUGAGAAUCUUUUUGGAUAAUUACCAGGUGCCUAUAGAUGUGCACGAAGAGAAUCUUUAUCUUUUCAUUUUGGUUAUGGAUAAACUUAUUAAUCAUAUUUAGGAUAAACUUUCAAGUUAUAUAUUAUUUAUUGAUGAUUUUGUUUUGAUCAAUAAGAGACUAGUUGAGAUCAAACAGAAUAGAUGAAGUGUAUCUUCUGCCAUACCAAGAGAAGAAUCUGGAGGAUAGUUAAGGUAGACAGGUGGAGCAUUUGGUGGAAAUAGAGGAGCAAGACCAGUACCUCCUGAGAAAGGUGUAUUUCCUUUAGAUCACUUGCAUGAGUGUGAUUUGGCGAAGAAAGAAUAUAUUGCUUGCCUCAAAUCAUCAGGCUACCAAUCAGAAAAAUGUAGGCACUUAUCAAAGAAGUACUUAGAAUGUCGAAUGGAAAGAAACUUGAUGGCUAAACAAGAUCUAUCUGAGCUUGGCUUCCUCAAAGACCGCGGAACAGCUACAUCUGAAGAGAGCACCAGUGGAGGUCAGCCCAAUCCCUCACCUGCAAAAAAGACCAUAACUUCUUGAAGGUGUGAUCUGGUCACAAAUGGAUUUUUCUGAUUCUAGAUUUGCAGCAAGAAUACAUGUUUAGAAAUGAUAAAGAUGGCUAAUAAUUUGGUUCAAUUGUGUAUUAACUAUUUUUACUGGAUCACUGAUGUCUCUUUGAUCUUUAAUUUCAAUAUGUUUGGUAAUUCCGAAAAAUCUAGCAAAGUGCCUCCAGAUUGGUGGUUUAGGAUGAACGGUAUGACUUGACUAUUAGGUGUCUGUUCUAUUUGGA